rnacentral:lncRNA from 1 species
UGUGAAGCCACCGGUGACACAUGUCUAUACUCAUAGCGUUCGGCCUUCUGAUGUGCCAUCUUCUUCUGAUGUGCCAUCUUCUAUUGUGCCCUCUUCGUCUGAUAUGCCUUCUUCUCCUACUGAGGCUUCUUUUUCAGAGGAUUCACCUCCUGAGCCACUUCUGCGUCGUAGUCAUCGUCUUCGUAGGCGUCCUGAUUGUUAUUCUCCCUCUGCUUAUGCUGCCACUAUUCUUUCGGAGCCGUCCU